UAUCUCCACCGCCAGCAGUGCCUGGGGAGGUCUAGAAAGCAGCACUCUUCAUCCCAUGGCUUCCAUGCCCACCAUGAAUGUAGAUUUUGAUGCUGUAUUUGGGACUAAAGCUUCCAAUAGUGAUGUGAAGCCAUCAGCUGGUUAUGAUGCAUUAGGAGACUUGUUGGAAGCCCACGGUGACGGUUCACACUC